rnacentral:rRNA from 1 species
AAUCGUACCCCAAACCGACACAGGUGGUCAGGUAGAGAAUACCAAGGCGCUUGAGAGAACUCGGGUGAAGGAACUAGGCAAAAUGGUGCCGUAACUUCGGGAGAAGGCACGCUGGCAUGUAGGUGAAGUCCCUUGCGGAUGGAGCUGAAGCCAGUCGAAGAUACCAGCUGGCUGCAACUGUUUAAUAAAAACACAGCACUGUGCAAACACGAAAGUGGACGUAUACGGUGUGACGCCUGCCCGGUGCUGGAAGGUUAAUUGAUGGGGUCAGCCGCAAGGCGAAGCUCUUGAUCGAAGCCCCAGUAAACGGCGGCCGUAACUAUAACGGUCCUAAGGUAGCGAAAUUCCUUGUCGGGUAAGUUCCGACCUGCACGAAUGGCGUAAUGAUGGCCAGGCUGUCUCCACCCGAGACUCAGUGAAAUUGAACUCGCUGUGAAGAUGCAGUGUACCCGCGGCAAGACGGAAAGACCCCGUGAACCUUUACUAUAGCUUGACACUGAACAUUGAGCCUUGAUGUGUAGGAUAGGUGGGAGGCUUUGAAGCGUGGACGCCAGUCUGCGUGGAGCCAUCCUUGAAAUACCACCCUUUAAUGUUUGAUGUUCUAACUCGGCCCCAUAAUCUGGGGUGAGGACAGUGUCUGGUGGGUAGUUUGACUGGGGCGGUCUCCUCCCAAAGAGUAACGGAGGAGCACGAAGGUUAGCUAAUCACGGUCGGACAUCGUGAGGUUAGUGCAAAGGCAUAAGCUAGCUUGACUGCGAGAGUGACGGCUCGAGCAGGUACGAAAGUAGGUCUUAGUGAUCCGGUGGUUCUGAAUGGAAGGGCCAUCGCUCAACGGAUAAAAGGUACUCCGGGGAUAACAGGCUGAUACCGCCCAAGAGUUCAUAUCGACGGCGGUGUUUGGCACCUCGAUGUCGGCUCAUCACAUCCUGGGGCUGAAGUAGGUCCCAAGGGUAUGGCUGUUCGCCAUUUAAAGUGGUACGCGAGCUGGGUUUAGAACGUCGUGAGACAGUUCGGUCCCUAUCUGCCGUGGGCGUUGGAAGAUUGAGAGGGGUUGCUCCUAGUACGAGAGGACCGGAGUGAACGCACCACUGGUGUUCGGGUUGUCAUGCCAAUGGCAUUGCCCGGUAGCUAAGUGCGGAAAAGAUAAGCGCUGAAAGCAUCUAAGCGCGAAACUUGCCUCAAGAUGAGUCUUCCCUGGGCCUUUAAGGCCCCUGAAGGAACGUUUAAGACUAAGACGUUGAUAGGCUGGGUGUGUAAGUGCAGCGAUGCAUUGAGCUAACCAGUACUAAUGAUCCGUGAGGCUUAACCUU